GAGGGGUUUUGCUUUUGUUUCCACAGGCGAAGAAAUGGAAGAAAUGUUAUAGAUACCAUCAAAAAAAAUUCAAUUCAAACAGGAGAAACCUCUUAACGAGAAGUGAUAGCUCAUUCACCAAUGUGACAAUUCUACAAGUUGUAAGGAAAACUCAUCUAAGAAGGCUUGGGGCAGGGUUCUGUUUUGUUCUUUACAGGAGGAAAAAAGUAUUCACCAUAAAGGAUGUCAAGGACCUUUGGACAGAAAGACAUCUAAAGAAGAAGAAAGACAUCUAAAGAAGAAGGGCGAACUGUCUGGAAAAAUCUACUAAGAAAGGAAACAAUCUGGCAUGAGGGUAUAAUUACUUCUACAAGCAGAGAUCUACUCCUGAGAAGAUAAUGGGCACCGAAGAUACUCCAUAUGGAGUUUGUUUUCUUUUUGGCAAAACUGGCCUACUGGGCAAGAAACUCCCCUUGCCUCAACUGCUGACAAUCUUUGCUGUUCCUGUAAGGGCAAAAUUAGAUUCACCUGGAAAUAACAUCUAUUUGUAUGGUAAAAUCACCAGUAAUUGCUCUAAGAAGAAACAAAAAACCUCUUGGAAACAUAGCAAAUCCUCUUUGCUAGUUCUGUCUCUCUUUCAAGCCAGUAAAAACAGCAGUCAGAAUCCCCUGCGGCCAGAGUCUACACCCAAGAAAGUGCAGGCAGAAAGCUGGGCAGAACUGCCUCUGAGUUGGUGCAGGACCCAGGGAAGGGCUGCUAGUGUAGAAGCAGUUACAAGAGAAACUAGGCCUUGGCUAAGGCAUCAGGGACUUCUACAUCUUGGGGGAGAGGAGAAGCAGGGACAAUCAGAAGAUCUAUGGGUGGGGGCGGGGACAAAAUCUUACUGAAAAAGUUUUAUUUCAAGAACUUUCACCUUCUUUCACUGACCCAGUAAAGCAGGGGAGGAAAGCUUCAGGAAGUUUUCACUUCCGGCAACAAGCACCUGUCUGAGGGCACGUGGUCAGGCAUGAUCUGUUCCAGGGACGGUGCCAGAUGAAAAGCUUAAUCUUGACUUAAAAACCUCCUGUGAUAAAAUAGCAGAAACUUGAUUUUGCCUGAUUGAACGAAACCUGAGGAGUAACGGCCACCACUGGCUGCAGGUGAGUUUUCUCCCAGACCCAGAAAGGCAACCUGGGAAAUGCAGUUCAAAAAGUAGCUUGGGAAAUGCAGUGACAAUAUAGAGAUGGGAAGUUUGGGAAGUGAAGUCCGUAACAGAGAUGCCAGUACUACACUGCUUCAAAAUUCAGUUUUUGUUUUGUUUUUUUCCAGCUCAGAUUUUUUCCACAAGCUUUAUUAGCUUGUCUCCAGGGAAUGAGAAACAGGCAAACAGCUUGUCUGUCAGGAGGCAAUAAAAAUGCUAAUAUCAUUUGUCAACGAGUCAUUUUGAAGUCCUUUAGAAAACAAGGGAAAGUGGUCCUUACUUUAGGAAAUUGCUUCAGCUUUGGAAAAAAACUUACGGGAUUGAGUUGUGCUAAAAAUGCAAGAGGGAAAUAUUGGCAUCAUUAAAAACACUCAUAGUAAUCUUAAGAAGUAGCGUUAAAAAUUAAAAAGAGGGAAUUUUACCCUCAGUUAAGCUUAGAGCCACUGAUAAAUUAGGCUCUGACUUCAAACUCUCAAGAAAACUUUCAGAAUGCUAUCAAAGCUCACUAUAAACUCCGAACUUUAGAAAUGAUUUGUGUACUUCCUGUCUUAAUAGUUCAUUUAAGAAAUCUCUUCUAAAAAAGUCACAUAGAGUUUGCUUUUGAAUGUAAGUUAGUUCUGUUAAGAGACUCUUCUAGAUGCAUGCUAAAGUUUAUAAAGUAGUUCUAUAACGUUUUUCUUGAAUAAAAGAAAGUUAAGAAAGUAAAAAGUGUAACUAAUGUAAAAAGUGUAAAUAUUGAAUGUAAAAAGUAUAAAUGUUGAAUGUAGUUUGUAAAAAGUAUAU